GGAAAGGCGCGCGAUACAGGGUGACAGCCCCGUACACAAAAAUGCACAUGCUGUGAGCUCGAUGAGUAGGGCGGGACACGUGGUAUCCUGUCUGAAUAUGGGGGGACCAUCCUCCAAGGCUAAAUACUCCUGACUGACCGAUAGUGAACCAGUACCGUGAGGGAAAGGCGAAAAGAACCCCGGCGAGGGGAGUGAAAAAGAACCUGAAACCGUGUACGUACAAGCAGUGGGAGCACGCUUAGGCGUGUGACUGCGUACCUUUUGUAUAAUGGGUCAGCGACUUAUAUUCUGUAGCAAGGUUAACCGAAUAGGGGAGCCGAAGGGAAACCGAGUCUUAACUGGGCGUUAAGUUGCAGGGUAUAGACCCGAAACCCGGUGAUCUAGCCAUGGGCAGGUUGAAGGUUGGGUAACACUAACUGGAGGACCGAACCGACUAAUGUUGAAAAAUUAGCGGAUGACUUGUGGCUGGGGGUGAAAGGCCAAUCAAACCGGGAGAUAGCUGGUUCUCCCCGAAAGCUAUUUAGGUAGCGCCUCGUGAAUUCAUCUCCGGGGGUAGAGCACUGUU
rnacentral:rRNA from 1 species